GUCUGCACUUGUCGGGGAAGGGUGAGAACCUUCGAUUAAGGUUCGACUCGAGCGAAAGCAAGAGAACGUUGCCAACGGCAACGGCCCGUAGGGUGAGGAGUGAAGCGACGAAUAAUCCUUCCCCCACCACCA
rnacentral:sRNA from 3 species